rnacentral:antisense_RNA from 13 species
GGGUGCUUUUGGUGUUCGACCAAAAGCAGUUCGAAAGAUUUGCUGGCGGUAGAAAAUCAAAAACCCCGAAUGAACUGUAAAUUCAAACGAGGUUUUAGAGAUGUACCUAGACAAUACAAAUCUUAGCCUCUAUCUCGAUUUAUUUCAAUGCAAAAUUGAAGGAGG